AUGAUCCACGACGCCAUGGCGCGACUCCGCGACGGGGGCUACGAGUUCAUGGCCAUGCCCGUCAAGUUCGCCGAGCUCGAGAAGUUCGCCAACCUGACCCUGUUCACGCUCGACGACCCGGCCAUCUUCGUCGGCGGAGGCCACGACUACGUCUCGGCGGUGCGCUUCCACAUCGUCCCCAACCACCGCCUCACGAGCGCCGACCUCCACCGCCUCCGCCCCGGCACGGUGCUCCCCACGCUGGCCGGCGAGGGCCAGAGCCUCGUCGUCACCCACUACGCCACCGACUCGGCCUCCUCCAAGUCCAACGACGUCUGCAUCAACUACAUACCCAUAAGGAGCCCGACGUGGUGGUCAACUCGCGCAUCGCCGUCCACGGCGUCUACGUGCCGUUCCCCCGCCUCCACCUCGCCGACCUCGCCGCCUCGGUCGCCGUCGCGUCCGCCACCGACACCUGCGGCGCCGGGGGACCCUUCGGCAACUGCGCCUCCUCAGCGUCAGCCAUCACCUCUCCCAAGAGGCAAGUAG
rnacentral:rRNA from 1 species